ACCCAGCCGACAAGUCUCACAUAGGACGAAACGCGCGUCCUGGAU
rfam:Schistosoma rodhaini strain Burundi genome assembly, scaffold: SROB_scaffold0002370